GAUGAAGAACGUAGUGAAAUGCGAUAACUAAUGUGAAUUGCAGAAUUCAGUGAAUCAUCGAGUCUUUGAACGCACAUUGCGCCCCCUGGUAUUCCGGGGGGCAUGCCUGUCCGAGCGUCAUUGCUGCCCUCAAGCACGGCUUGUGUGUUGGGCUCCGUCCCCCCGGGGACGGGCCCGAAAGGCAGCGGCGGCACCGAGUCCGGUCCUCGAGUGUAUGGGGCUUUGUCACCCGCUCUGUAGGCCCGGCCGGCGCCAGCCGACAACCCAUCAUCCUUUUCAGGUUGACCUCGGAUCAGGUAGGGAUACCCGCUGAACUUAAGCAUAUCAAUAAGCGGAGGA
rnacentral:misc_RNA from 1 species